CGGGGAGGACGGCCGGGCCAGGUGAAGUUCGCGCACUUGGGCCUUCCGCGCCCCCAUCCACCGCAGCCAGGGCCUGGAAGGCUGGGGAGGGGGCGGGGGCGGCAGACGCCUCCUAAGGUACAACUUGAGCUCUCAUCUACAUAACUGAAGGCUGCACCCAGGGCUGUAAAGAGUGAAAAUGCAUUGCCGAAGCAUGAGCACCUCCUGCAGUUCUCAGUAGACAUUUGGGAAGCGAGUGAACCGCCCUGUAUGGAGUGUUUGGAGGAGGUCGGAGGGUGUCGGGCCUGAGCCAGGGGCUGCCCUGGGCCUGUGUCGGGUGGCGCAUGCCAGAGGAAUGAGAUGGGAAGGGCAUGCACGCGGGGUCUUGGCAGCCCUGGAGCUGGCCUAGAUGCAGCAGCUUUCUGAUAAAGCGAAAUUGUUCCAUCGGCUUGCCAUGCUUUGCUUAGCCAUCCGCACUUCACUGUUGGGCGAAAGAAGAUUUUAAAGAACACCCUUAGCAGAUGUCAGAGUUUGGGAUUUGGGGUCCAUGAUACCCAAAUAAGAUUCCACUUGAAGAAAGUAACACGAAUUGCUUUCAACACAUCAAUCAACAA
rnacentral:lncRNA from 1 species